AUGGCCACAGGCCAGUCUUAUGGAGGAAGUUCUCCAAUUGAUGCUCCCUCAAUCCAGCUGUACACCUUCUCCUAUACACAUCCCUCCAAUUCGCUCAACUACCGCGGCAGGGCCAGCAUGGAGCCGGUGGACGCCUCUGGCACGGAGAAGGCGUUUGAGCCGGCUACAGGCCGAGUUAUAGCUACUUUCACAUGUUUGGGAGAAAAGGAAGUAAGUUUGGAUGUUGAAAAUGCAAAGGCUGCCUUCAAAAUAUGGAGUAAAAAAUGUGGGAGGGAGCGUUGCCAAAUCCUUUUAGAGGCUGCCCGGAUAAUAAAGGAGCGGAAAGAUGAAAUUGCGACUGUGGAGACCAUUAACAAUGGCAAGUCCAUCUUUGAGGCCCGACUAGACGUUGACACUUGCUGGCAGUGCCUGGAGUAUUAUGCAGGCCUGGCUGCAUCCAUGGCAGGUGAACACAUCCAGCUUCCGGAAGGGUCCUUUGGCUACACCAGAAGAGAACCACUUGGGGUGUGUGUGGGGAUUGGAGCAUGGAACUAUCCCUUCCAGACUGCCUGUUGGAAGUCAGCUCCAGCUUUGGCCUGCGGUAAUGCCAUGAUCUUUAAGCCUUCUCCCUUUACCCCUGUGUCUGCUUUGCUCCUGGCUGAGAUCUACACCCAAGCUGGCAUGCCGCCUGGGCUCUUCAAUGUGGUGCAAGGUGGGGCUGCCACAGGCCAGUUUCUGUGUCAGCAUCAAGAUGUGGCCAAGGUCUCCUUUACUGGAAGUGUGCCCACUGGCAUGAAGAUCAUGGAGAUGUCAGCCAAAGGAAUCAAACCUGUUACCUUGGAACUUGGGGGCAAAUCUCCUCUCAUCAUCUUCUCAGAUUGUAAUAUGGAGAAUGCUGUGAAGCGGGCACUGAUGGCCAACUUCCUCAUGCAAGGCCAGGUUUGCUGUAAUGGCACAAGAGUAUUUGUGCAAAAGGAAAUUAUUGAUAAAUUUACAAAAGAGGUUGUGAAGCAGACCCAAAAGAUAAAACUUGGAGACCCCCUCCUGGAAGAUACAACCGCCCACAUCUGGAGCGAGUCCUUGGGUUUGUUAAAUUGGCAAAGGAGCAGGGUGCUAGUGUGCUGUGUGGUGGAGAUCUGUAUGUACCCGAGGAUCCCAAAUUAAAAGAAGGAUAUUACAUGACACCUUGCAUUUUAACUAAUUGCAGAGAUGAUAUGACCUGUGUGAGAGAGGAGAUCUUUGGGCCAGUUAUGUCCAUUUUAUCAUUUGACACUGAAGCUGAAGUUCUGGAGCGGGCCAACGAUACCACUUUUGGACUAGCAGCUGGUGUCUUUACCAGGGACAUCCAGCGGGCUCACAGGGUGGCAGCCGAGCUUCAGGCUGGAACCUGCUACAUUAACAACUAUAAUGUCAGCCCAGUGGAGUUGCCUUUUGGUGGAUAUAAGAAGUCAGGAUUUGGCAGAGAAAAUGGCCGGGUGACAAUUGAGUAUUAUUUACAGCUGAAGACGGUGUGUGUGGAGAUGGGCAAUGUGGAAUCUGUUUUUUGA